rnacentral:rRNA from 1 species
GUGCCAGCAGCCGCGGUAAUACGUAGGGUGCGAGCGUUGUCCGGAAUUACUGGGCGUAAAGAGCUCGUAGGGGGUUUGUCGCGUUGUUUGUGAAAUCUCACGGCUUAACUGUGAGCGUGCGGGCGAUACGGGCAGACUAGAGUACUGCAGGGGAGACUGGAAUUCCUGGUGUAGCGGUGGAAUGCGCAGAUAUCAGGAGGAACACCGGUGGCGAAGGCGGGUCUCUGGGCAGUAACUGACGCUGAGGAGCGAAAGCGUGGGGAGCGAACAGGAUUAGAUACCCUGGUAGUCCACGCCGUAAACGGUGGGUACUAGGUGUGGGUUUCCUUCCUUGGGAUCCGUGCCGUAGCUAACGCAUUAAGUACCCCGCCUGGGGAGUACGGCCGCAAGGCUAAAACUCAAAGGAAUUGACGG